rnacentral:tRNA from 1 species
GCCUGGGUGGCUCAGUCGGUCAAGCGUCUGACUUCAGCUCAGGUCACGAUCUCACAUCCGUGGGUUCGAACCCCGCGUGGGGCU